CUGAGUUUGGUUUCUGCUCAGGAUGAACGCUGGCGGCGUGCCUAAUACAUGCAAGUCGAACGCUUUGUGGUUCAACUGAUUUGAAGAGCUUGCUCAGAUAUGACGAUGGACAUUGCAAAGAGUGGCGAACGGGUGAGUAACACGUGGGAAACCUACCUCUUAGCAGGGGAUAACAUUUGGAAACAGAUGCUAAUACCGUAUAACAAUAGCAACCGCAUGGUUGCUACUUAAAAGAUGGUUCUGCUAUCACUAAGAGAUGGUCCCGCGGUGCAUUAGUUAGUUGGUGAGGUAAUGGCUCACCAAGACGAUGAUGCAUAGCCGAGUUGAGAGACUGAUCGGCCACAAUGGGACUGAGACACGGCCCAUACUCCUACGGGAGGCAGCAGUAGGGAAUCUUCCACAAUGGGCGAAAGCCUGAUGGAGCAACGCCGCGUGUGUGAUGAAGGGUUUCGGCUCGUAAAACACUGUUGUAAGAGAAGAAUGACAUUGAGAGUAACUGUUCAAUGUGUGACGGUAUCUUACCAGAAAGGAACGGCUAAAUACGUGCCAGCAGCCGCGGUAAUACGUAUGUUCCAAGCGUUAUCCGGAUUUAUUGGGCGUAAAGCGAGCGCAGACGGUUAUUUAAGUCUGAAGUGAAAGCCCUCAGCUCAACUGAGGAAUUGCUUUGGAAACUGGAUGACUUGAGUGCAGUAGAGGAAAGUGGAACUCCAUGUGUAGCGGUGAAAUGCGUAGAUAUAUGGAAGAACACCAGUGGCGAAGGCGGCUUUCUGGACUGUAACUGACGUUGAGGCUCGAAAGUGUGGGUAGCAAACAGGAUUAGAUACCCUGGUAGUCCACACCGUAAACGAUGAGUGCUAGGUGUUUGAGGGUUUCCGCCCUUAAGUGCCGCAGCUAACGCAUAAGCACUCCGC
rnacentral:rRNA from 1 species